rnacentral:misc_RNA from 1 species
CUAGCUGUUCGCUUUUAAAUUGGCACUUUGAGUUGAGGGCGGAGCGUGAAUUAAGUAAAGGCUUAUUUGUUCCUGAAUGUUUCAUUUUUAUUAACCAAAACCAACAUUUAUCAUACUUGCAACUAAGACCUCGAAUGUUUGGAAAAGACGAUGUCGACAAAGCGGAGUUUUUUAAUGAAAUAAAAGACAUUUGCAAGUGCUGGCUUACACCCGGGGAAUUGUCAGUAAAUAAGGCGCCAGGAGGUUGUGCAAGCACUAGAAAUGACGAGCAUGGAGAGGUCAAUCUUGGUAGUCAGGUCUGGUAGAGCAAUCUCAAAUUAUCAUAUAGAAAUGUUAUGAUUUCGGUAUUGAUCAAAAGGUGCUGGGACCUUAGGGGAUACAUUAGUGCCAUGUUCUAUUGCGGAACGGUCGUAUCCUGGUAACCUAGCCCCCGUAAGAGCUCUACCUAAUCGUCGACAUAAUGGGUAGAAGGCAGGCUGUGCUUAUUUCUCGGCAAAUAGCUGAGUCGACACCUCGAGGUGCCAACUCAGCUCUUCGUAGAUAAAAACAAGUGUUCAGUGGAUCAAACCCUGUAUUAAUGGUUCUGGCAGGCUGCUGGCGUGGGACUUCUUUCGCUAGAAACACUACAACAAUAGAAGCACCCUUCUAGAGAUAAGAAUAGCAAAUGUUUUGAGGCACUGAUGGAAGCAUGCCAAGGUGAAGUUGACGAUCUCUUUAGCGUUUAUCCUUCUCUUUAUCUUGCCCUGUGUGCUCAUGCUGUGAGUGCC